rnacentral:tRNA from 3 species
GCCGGUAUAGCUCAAUUGGCAGAGCACUCGCCUUGUAAGCGAAAGGUUUCGGGUUCAAGUCCCGAUACCGGCU